AACGAACGCUGGCGGCAUGCCUAACACAUGCAAGUCGAACGAGACCUUCGGGUCUAGUGGCGCACGGGUGCGUAACGCGUGGGAACUUGCCCUUAGGUUCGGAAUAACUCCCCGAAAGGGGUGCUAAUACCGGAUAAUGCCUUCGGACCAAAGAUUUAUCGCCUUUGGAUGGGCCCGCGUUGGAUUAGCUAGUUGGUAGGGUAAAAGCCUACCAAGGCGACGAUCCAUAGCUGGUCUGAGAGGAUGAUCAGCCACACUGGGACUGAGACACGGCCCAGACUCCUACGGGAGGCAGCAGUGGGGAAUAUUGGACAAUGGGCGAAAGCCUGAUCCAGCAAUGCCGCGUGAGUGAGGAAGGCCUUAGGGUUGUAAAGCUCUUUUACCCGGGAUGAUAAUGACAGUACCGGGAGAAUAAGCACCGGCUAACUCCGUG
rnacentral:rRNA from 1 species